UUCAUUCGGAUGUCCAGAUGUA
rnacentral:miRNA from 1 species